rnacentral:rRNA from 1 species
UACGUAGGGUGCAAGCGUUGUCCGGAAUUACUGGGCGUAAAGCGCACGUAGGCGGAUUUGUAAGUCAGGGGUGAAAUCCCGGGGCUCAACCUCGGAACUGCCUUUGAUACUGCAAAUCUCGAGUCCGGAAGAGGUGAGUGGAAUUCCUAGUGUAGAGGUGAAAUUCGUAGAUAUUAGGAAGAACACCAGUGGCGAAGGCGGCUCACUGGUCCGGUACUGACGCUGAGGUGCGAAAGCGUGGGGAGCAAACAGG